rnacentral:rRNA from 1 species
UACGUAGGGUGCAAGCGUUGUCCGGAAUUAUUGGGCGUAAAGAGCUCGUAGGCGGCUUGUCGCGUCGGCUGUGAAAACCUGGGGCUCAACCCCGGGCCUGCAGCCGAUACGGGCAAGCUAGAGUUCGGUAGGGGAGACUGGAAUUCCUGGUGUAGCGGUGAAAUGCGCAGAUAUCAGGAGGAACACCGGUGGCGAAGGCGGGUCUCUGGACAGUUCCUGACGCUGAGGCACGAAGGCCAGGGGAGCAAACGGG